CUUCUAGCUCCUUUGCUGACAGCCAAGAGAAGAGGAUCUUUCCUCUCUAGAGAACAUCUAUGUGAGGUGUGAACAAGAGCACAUUGUCAAACCAGGGGAGGUCAGCAGGUCACAGCACAUUUUAUUCAUGCCACGAUAGAGACAAGUGUGGAAACAACUCUUCAAUACAGUUUCCUUAGGAGAAAGAACUCAUGAGUGAGCACGUACGCCAGCAAAGGUUUGAUUUGGGGAAGUUUAACAAUAAUCCUCAUAAACCCACAAGUGAAGUCUUACAGGAUAGAAGCUUGCUGAAAUGAAUGAGUGCUGGGUGGUAUCAUUCUAAGUAAAAGCACCGAAAGUUUACUGCAAAGCCAGCUCCAUGGGUGACUCUCAAGAUGUGCGGGUGUCCAUUUGGCAGGUCAAUGCUGAUUAAUUAACAGACAAGGCAUUCCCUUUCCAUACCGAGCUUCUCAGGGAGACCCUGGGAAGGGUUUCCUGCCUGGAAUUUCACAAAGAAAGAGAAAUUUCUUCAUAAAGGAAACAGGAACUGACUGCUCUUGAGAGCAGAAGAAAAACUCAACUGCCCUCAUCCAGUAAGAGACUGUCAAAUGGCGGCCAGGAGACCCAUGGCAGCAGUCAGAGCUGGAAGGCAGGGCUCAUAAUUUUUGGCUCUCCAGUUUGGAUGAUGACAUGUUACUGGGUAGCAAUACAUCUGAAGAAAUUAAAAAUAACAAUAACCAUGACAAGGCAGGAUGAUACAGACAUUUCAAAAGCAAUUGAUUCCUCUGUAAUAAAAACAUAGUCAAAUAUAGUACCAGAAAACAGAAAUAUCCACUGUGAGGUUUCCAGUUUAAGGAGAUAACCAUUUCUUAUUUAUUAAUUUUUUUGUAGAAUUCUUAACCUUGUAAUAGCCUUCCUG
ensembl:lncRNA